CGCAUCUUGCGCUCCUUGGUAUUCCGAGGAGCAUGCCUGUUUGAGUGUCAUUAAAUUCUCAACUCUCCUUUGAUUUUUUCAAGGGUGAGAUUGGAUUGUGGAGGCUCUGCUGGCUGCAAAGUCGGCUCCUCUGAAAUGCAUUGGCAAAGGCGUGUGCAUGAACGGCCUUUCGGUGUGAUAAUGAUCACCGUGGCUGGAUUGCUCUUAAUGCUUGUGCCCAACCUUCUUACCAUUUGUUUGGAAAGAAAAACCCACUUGACAUUUUGACCUCAAAUCAGGUAGGACUACCCGCUGAACUUAA
rnacentral:misc_RNA from 1 species